rnacentral:lncRNA from 1 species
GACAUGGCCUUCAAUUUUGGGGCUCCCUCGGGCACCUCCGGUACCGCUGCAGCCACCGCGGCCCCCGCGGGCUUUUUGAUACCACAUUGGUAAUCAGCUGAAGACUGACAAUAAGUUACAAAAAUAACAAAACAAUUUUAGAUUGGCUAGCAUUCCAUUUAUCUGUCAAAUCUCUUCCUUCAAGAAACACAUUCUUGUUGUUUGGAGGUGGGUUUGGAGGAUUUGGGACAACAUCUACAACUGCAGGUUCUGCAUUCAGCUUUUCUGCCCCAACUAACACAGGCACUACUGGACUCUUUGGUGGUACUCAGAACAAAGGUUUUGGAUUUGGUACUGGUUUUGGCACAACAACGGGAACUAGUACUGGUUUAGGUACUGGUUUGGGAACUGGACUGGGAUUUGGAGGAUUUAAUACACAGCAGCAGCAGCAAACUACAUUAGGUGGUCUCUUCAGUCAGCCUACACAAGCUCCUACCCAGUCCAACCAGCUGAUAAAUACUGCGAGUGCUCUUUCUGCUCCAACGCUGUUGGGAGAUGAGAGAGAUGCUAUUUUGGCAAAAUGGAAUCAACUGCAGGCCUUUUGGGGAACAGGAAAAGGGUAUUUCAACAAUAAUAUUCCGCCAGUGGAAUUCACACAAGAAAAUCCCUUUUGCCGAUUUAAGGCAGUAGGUUAUAGUUGCAUGCCCAGUAAUAAAGAUGAAGAUGGGCUAGUGGUUUUAGUUUUCAACAAAAAAGAAACAGAGAUUCGAAGCCAACAACAACAGUUGGUAGAAUCAUUGCAUAAAGUUUUGGGAGGAAACCAGACCCUUACUGUAAAUGUAGAGGGCACUAAAACAUUGCCAGAUGAUC